AACUGAGACACGGUCCAAACUCCUACGGGAGCCACCAGUUAGGAAUAUUGGUCAAUGGGCGAGACCUUGAACCAGCCAAGUCGCGUGAAGGAAGAAGGUUCUAUGGAUUGUAAACUUCUUUUGUAAGGGAAUAAAGUUCGCUACGAGUAGCGUUUUGUAAGUACCUUGCGAAUAAGGAUCGGCUAACUCCGUGCCAGCAGCCGCGGUAAUAC
rnacentral:rRNA from 1 species